rnacentral:lncRNA from 1 species
UGUUCAGAAAAGACAACGGCUUACUGGUCCCAGAUCCCGCUUCCUCAUGGUACGCACACUUUUCACGCAGCCUGUCCCUUCUCUGCACAUCAGUUGGCUGGUGAACAAGGCUAUAUCAGACUUAUUUUCCAAGGACCUCUAGACUAGCAGCUGUCCUCCAGGACUGCAUUACAAGUUCAUAAGCUAAGUGAUUGGGUUUGCCGACCCCUUGUCCGUGUAAGUUUCUCUGCUCUGGUCAUUUGCAUUAAGAUGAAGAAUUUUUUUAAAUAUUUAUAAUAGCAAUUUCUGAGAAAAAUUUGGGAAACUCGAGCAAAGGAAUAUUUGAAAGUUCCAGACUUCUGAAUUCUGAGUUUUGAAAAUCUAUUUUGAGGAGAAAAAGACAUAGUCUAAUUUGAUGCCUUCGUUUAGUGUUCUUGAAUCCCUGCUCACCCUCAGUGUUGAGAGGUCGUUCUGUAGAACUGAGGGUCUGUUGGUUCAAACUAUGUUAGUUUACAAUUUGUUGCAAACAUUGUAAAAUACAGCAACAUGUAUAUUAAUUUUCUAUUUAUCUUUAUCAUAGAAAAUACCUUAGAAUGUUGUGAUAGGUAGCAUGGUAAUGAUGGUGUCACACACUUGGUGUGAGUGGUAGGUUAGUGGGCACGCAGCUCAAGGAUUUGCAAAGUUAAGGAGAAAGGUAGGAGAGCUCCCCCAGCCCCAUACAAGUAGGGGAUUUGAUGAACUAGAAUAUUUCAUAAAACCAGAUAAACAUUAAUUACCAUUGUCUAAAAGGUGUUUGUUUUUAACCACAUUGAAUUUAACCAGAAAAUGGUUUUUUCCUUCAUGUUUCUCUCAAGUGUAGUACUAUAACAAAAGUUAAUGCUAAGAAACGUUUUAUAUGCUCCUUUGAAUAUGCAAUUAAUCUAGAUGAUCUAUUUUUCUCCCAUGAUAACUGAUCUGUUUUUAGUGCCAGCAACAUUUGGCAAGUUUAUUUUUUUGGAUAUAAACUGUGGUUCAUCUGUUCACUGUUUCUAAAAAA